UACGGGGGAGGCAAGCGUUGUUCGGAAUUACUGGGCGUAAAGGGCUCGUAGGCGGCCAACUAAGUCGGAUGUGAAAUCCCCAGGCUUAACCUGGGAACUGCAUCCGAUACUGGAUGGCUUGAAUCCGGGAGAGGGAUGCAGAAUUCCAGGUGUAGCGGUGAAAUGCGUAGAUAUCUGGAGGAAUACCGGUGGCGAAGGCGGCAUCCUGGACCGGCAUUGACGCUGAUGAGCGAAAGCUAGGGGAGCAAACGGG
rnacentral:rRNA from 1 species